rnacentral:lncRNA from 1 species
CAAAUCAAUUUAUUGAAUUAUUAAAGAAAUUGGGGCUUAGGGUUGAGAGAUUUGCGUGAGAUUGGGAUGAAGGAGGUGAAAAAUAGAAGACCUUACCUUGUUCCACUUGAGCUUAGGAACCUAAGAAGUGCAUUGCAUGGUAGAUUUGGGAUUAAUUUGAGGUUGAGAAGAAAAUGGGUUGAAGGCAAUUGUUGUUGUUGUUGCUGCGUGGAGGGUAAGGAGAGUAGGGAGAGAGGUUGCUGAUUUAUUUCUUUUCUUGAGUCUCGUGAGAAGAAGAGGAAGUGGGGAGAGUUUUACUGACUUUUUGUUUUCUCUCUCUCCAAUUUCACUUAAACAGCCAAAAAUCAUUUUACACAUUUGUCUCUCAGCUUGUCAUAACUACUAAUUGUACCCCUUUUUCUUAACACCAAACAUACUUGUAUUUUUCCUUAAAAAUUUCUUCUGAUUCAUCCAAUAAACCUCAUUCUUAUUUCAAUUUGGGGUUUCUAAUUAAUACUAUU